GUGAGCUUCUCUGCCAUGUGUGGCUUGUUAACCAGGAAUCAAGGCAGCUGUUUGUAUGCUGCUCUCACUAGCAGCUCAGCAGCAUCUCCUUCCUCUGCCUGGACUAUUUUGUAUGUUACCCUGGGAUCAUUACUGCAAGUCUGAAAGCAUCUUUGAUACAGGAGACUUACUCAGGGACCAAAAGAUUCGGCCCCUUUAAGUAUUGAAAGGCCACAAUAAGAUCCUCAGGGCUUUCUCUUCUCCAGGAUGGACAUGUCCAGCUCUAUUAGCUUUUCUGCAUAGGGAAGAAUCUGUAUGAUCAUUUUUGUGGCCCUCCUCUGGACCUGCUUGAACAGAUCCAUGUAUUUCCUUUGCAGGGGGCCCCAGAACUGGAUGCUGUAGUUCAGGUGGAGUCUCACCAUGAUGGAGUAGAUGGACAGAAUGACUUUCCUUGACUUGCUGGCCAUGCUUAAUUUGAUGCAGCCCAAGAUAUGAUUGACUUUCUGGACUGCAAGCACACAUUACUGGGUCAAGUUCAGCUUUUCAUCUACUAGUACCUCCAAAUCCUUCUCCUCAGGACUACUCUCAGUGCCUUCAUCCCUUAGCCUAUACUGAUACCAGAGGUUGCAAAGUGAGGACCUUGUAUUUAGCCUUGUUGAACCUCAUGAGGUUCACACGGGUCCACUUUUCAAGCUUGUCCAGGUCCCUCUGGAUGGCAUCCCAUUCCUCAGGUGUGUCAACAGCACCACUCAGCUUGUUAUUGUCUAGAACUUGCUGAUGCUACACUUAGUUCUGCUAUGUCAUUGAUUAAGAUAUUAACCAGUACUGGUCCCAGUAUGAAGCCCUGAGCGACUCCACUUGUUAUCAGUCUCCAUUUGGAGAUCGAGCAGUCAGCCACUAUGCUCUGGAUGUGACCAUUCAAUCGAUUCUGUAUUCACCAAACAGUCCAUCCAUCAAACCCAUUUUUCAGUUUAGAGAAA